GCAGGACUUGCAUGUGCCACGAUGACAACGCAAAGGUAAUGGAUGCACUGGAUAAAAGAAAGAUGUGAUCUGAGCCAUAGUCAGAUAGGUGCUGAAAUGGAAAGCUCCGGUGAUGGAUGACCUCUACUCAUACCUCAGGCGAGAGAUAGCGGCCUUCCAGGUCCACGUUGAGGAAUGCAAACACUCCUUUGACAUGGACAGUCUUGGCUUGGUCUUGCGAGCCUUGACUGUGAAACACAAAAGUGAAAUUGACAGUUUGGAACAGCUACAGGAGCUUGUGUCAGACAUUCAAGCGGAAUCCAAAGAGUCAGUCGGUGCCAGUGUUUACUGCAUGGGCUCCGACAUCAAAACUUGCAUUUCCUGGCUGCUGUCUUUCAUGCAGCAUCUCAGAGCAAUGAAGGAUGCCUUCGAUGAACAAGUGGUGGUCCCUCUCUGUGAAAACCUGUAUGUCCUGGAGGAGCAUGGUGACCCUGACAGCACAAGCCUGGUGACUCUGAGCCAGAGCAGCUCCAGAGAGCUGCCGUCUGUCUCCAAGGUGG